AAAAUAUUGUACGUGAAUAGUUAAAGUGAGUUAGCGGAUAAUUAUUAGAAAAUAUUGUUAAUCAGAAAUGUAUUUCAACGCGUAAACCUUCCUAAACUACUGGGUGAAGGGAAAUAUAUGCAUAGAUGGAUAUAAAAAGUAUUUUUUGGUUUUUUUAAAUUUGUCAUGCGGCUCAUACAUUUUCUGCCAAACUGCUGCUGCCGCUGAACAUUUCGUGUGCGUGUAUGAUUAAAUAAUGUCUAGCGCUUCUUCAAUCCAAAAAUAAUUAGAUUUUGUUGGAAAUUUUGAUGUUCGGAAUUUUUUCCAAACAUAAAAUUUGAAAAUAAAUACAAUUCAUUGGAUUGAAGGGAAUUCAGUUUUAUAAAUUGUUUUGAUCUCUAUCCUGCUUGAAAACUCACACAUUAGUCAUGUUUAUGUUGGGGAAUUUUCAAAUAAAAAAUCAUAAAGGAGGUUA